rnacentral:rRNA from 1 species
AGUGAACGCUGGCGGCAGGCCUAACACAUGCAAGUCGAGCGGCAGCGCGUCCGACCACCCUCGGGUGGUCGGAUGGCGGCGAGCGGCGGACGGGUGAGGAAUGCAUCGGAAUCUGCCUCGUUGUGGGGGAUAACGUAGGGAAACUUACGCUAAUACCGCAUACGACCUACGGGUGGAAGUGGGGGACCUUCGGGCCUCACGCGAUGAGAUGAGCCGAUGCCGGAUUAGCUAGUUGGCGGGGUAAAGGCCCACCAAGGCGACGAUCCGUAGCUGGUCUGAGAGGAUGAUCAGCCACACUGGAACUGAGACACGGUCCAGACUCCUACGGGAGGCAGCAGUGGGGAAUAUUGGACAAUGGGGGCAACCCUGAUCCAGCCAUGCCGCGUGUGUGAAGAAGGCCU